GCCUCGAUAGUUCAACGGAUAGAACAGUAGCCUUCUAAGCUACAUAUCUAGGUUCGAUUCCUAGUCGGGGUA
rnacentral:tRNA from 1 species